rnacentral:snoRNA from 1 species
GACACCCUCCUUAGAUCCACCUCUGGAGGCUAUGGGCUUGGCCCACUCCUCAGCAGCCUGUGGCUGUACAGUCGGAGGUGCUUGAGUCAUUGGGGUGUCAGAGCAGUCCACCUGUCCCCCCAGGCCAGGGCCCCACUGGCCCCUGUCCCAGAGGCAGGACACACCAAUGGGGCCAGCCUGGGAGACGGACACU